UUGUAUACUAGUUUUAAAAUCUUCAAUCUUGGUGAUAUUUUAAUUUAAAAAACUUAGUUUUAAAGCUAAAUCUGAACAUCUGGCAACUCUACCCAGAAACUAUAAUAAUAACAGCUGAAGUUGAAGUUGUGUGAAGUAUAACUGCAUCUAAGUUUUCCAAGCCAAAUUUUUCGAAGCUGAGUCAAGUCAAGCAUCGGUAACUGGAGCUGUACAGUAUGUACAAGUUGCGAAUAAUUAUUGGUCAUUAUUGUUUUUGCCUACAUUUCGGUCAUUGAAACCAUGAUUCAUGUGCUGAACACAUAGAAGACGACAAGCGACGAGCGACAUCUAUCAAAUAUUAAAAUACACGCGUUCUUAUGGGCACAGAUUUUUUGACAACAGCACGACUACGCGACAACAGGCUUGUAGUUGUCGUUGUCGCCAAAUUAGAAAUGUUUCUAAUUUUGCCGACGACAAUGGCCGCUGUAGAGCUGCCACUAACAUGUGAAAUGUAAAAUUAUUCAAAGUUCUCACAAGUAUGACGUUAUUUUGCCAGCAGAAACUUAAAAUAGCUUUGAUAUAUCAUUUAAAAUAAAUAAAUCGACCAUUUAUGCAUUACCCAUUUUUUGCGUAAAUAAUUUCACUUUAAACUAAAUAUGUAAAUUUUAUUGAAGUGAAAGAUGUUAGUACGGCAACAAUGAAAUUGCUGUUUGAUAUGUCGCUGCCGUCUUCAAAAUGUACAAGACGCUGGCUUCAAAGCGACAUUUGUGAUUAGCCGUCGCUACGUCGUGUCAUGUCGUCGUCUUUGUGUUCAGCACUUCACUGUAUUAAAAAAAUAAGAAACCGGCGGUUUCUAUGUAAUUUGUAACUUUAGUUUUUCGACCAAACAGUCUUGUGGUUUAUUCAAUUGACUUCGCGUCGCGGUUGUGUGUUUUGAUUUUUUAAUAUACAUAUUCAUUAUUAAAAAAGUGAAUAAAUAAUUAAUAAACAAAAAAGUAUAAAUUAUUUAUAGUGAUAACAAAAAAGUGAAAAUGACAAGAAACGUGGCAGCAGUAGGAAAGGAAAUAAGUCUGCGAGUUAGAGGUCAAAAAUGGCAAUCAUAUUGAAAUUCUCAUUAGGAAGUGCAGAACAGCGUGGAAUAAAGCCUUUCCAAACUAAUAGAAUGGGUAAAUAAUCUCAUUGGCCGACGCUUUUCAAGAGUACAAUACAAAUGGUAAAUAAAAAUUGUAAAGAAAAUAUUAUAAUAAAAAUUAAUAUUUUAAAUUUAUUGCCAUUUAAA